rnacentral:rRNA from 1 species
CCCUUAGAUGUUCUGGGCCGCACGCGUGCUACACUGAGUGGAUCAGCGGGUCAGGUUGCGCGAAAGUGUUUCCUAAUCUUGAAAUCCGCUCGUGAUGGGGAUUGACGGUUGCAAUUUUCCGUCAUGAACGAGGAAUACCUUGUAAGCGCGGGUCAUCAUCCCGCGCUGAAUACGUCCCUGCCCUUUGUACACACCGCCCGUCGCUCCUACCGAUUGAGUGGUCCGGUGAGACUUUGGGAUCUGAGCAAAGAGAGCGUUUCGCUCGUUUUGCCCGGAAAACUCAGUCGAACCUUAUCAUUUAGAGGAAGGAGAAGUCGUAACA